rnacentral:lncRNA from 1 species
GUUGGGAAGGGGCUGCCGGCGGUGGCGAACCCCCCAGCCUGCCUCCCCACCUGACCAUUUCCUCUCCGAUGCAGAGUUGGGGCCAGCGUCGGAUAAGCCUGGGGACACUGCCUGGGGACACCCCUGGGACUGGGGCCAGCGGGACAGGUCAGCUGAUGGGCUAUCUGUGGAUGGCCCUGCCUUUGGCCAGCUGAACAGCUGUGGAGGCCCACUGCAGGAUGCCAUCGCUGUGGUUCACAUUACUCUGCUGAAAACCAGGGGACAGAGUGCAGAUGCUCUCCAUCAGGUAGGAUGGCCCGCCCGGGCAGGUGGGCUUCAGAGCGGCCC